CUGAAUGAAACGUACAAAAUCAUUUUUAAAAUGCUUUGAGUCUUCCAACAGUGCAACUAAACAUAAGCGUUCUUGUCAAAGUGCUUUGGUGGGGUUUUGUCUGGGACACUGUUGUGGACCUUUGUACGAGAAGAUAUCACAGAUGUGGCUCCAUUAUACGCAUAUCCUCUCCUGAAAAGAAAAUACAAGUAUUUACAGCUCAUCCCACAGACAGCUAUUGAGAAGCAGAAUAUACUGCCACCAAUUAUGCAGAGUGAAGCUCCAGCCCAUCCAAUGAACAAAGCUGCUCCUAAUUCAUACCUACAGGAAGUCAAUAAAUGUGUUUAACAAAA